GCAGCCAAGUUAGCCAAAGCAGCCCAGGGCCGCCGCCCAGCGCCCCCGAGCCCCGAGGAGAGCCGUCGCGACCGGGGGCUGCCUGGGCAAGGGCGGGGCGAGAGGGCAGAACGCCUGCUCUCGGACAGGGUGUUCUUAAAAUACACCGGAAAGAACGGAGGUAAAAAUACUGGAGUGUUUCCUCCACACUGGAAAGAGAUCUGGGGACCCUUCACCUGCCUCUACUACUGCAAAUGAUUGGAUAUUCGUCUGACUUGGCUCUUCCCUAAUGUGUGGAACUAAUUUUGUUCACUCUGUUUCAUGCUGGACCUGGCCUGAAAAUGGGCCCUUAUAUUGUCUUUGCACUUUCCAACUUGCCAAGGCCUUCUGCAAGAGAGAUCUAAGAACCAGCCCUCAAAGAUGUUUCUGAAAGAAGGACCAAAGUAAUGCCAAGAACUCCCAGAUGAAGAGGACCUUCCUUAGACCUAUAACAGAUUCACUACUUGACUUCAGAGGGAAGUUUCAGCUAAUUCUCAGGAAAAGGUCAAAACAGGCCUGUGACUGUCCCUUGAAUACUGAAGGUAUAAACAAGCUUCUGGCUCCUCCAGGUCAAGCAGAGGAACACUUUUAUUAGAAUGAAGGGUUACUUCUUUGUUAUUCAAACACACACCCACACACAUCCUCUGUAGUCUCCCUAAUGAAAAACCUCAACAGAUGGAGAGCCUGAGCUCCCAAGUCCGCAGGCUGAGAAGAUGCACUUCACUCAAGGGCCAGUGGGCUGGUACAGACUAGGGAAGAGAAAAGGGACAAAGGCUGCUAGUAUAGGUAAUCACUAUCUUUUAAUACUCCUAACACAUAGAAAUUCGAAAAAUCUUGUUCAGCAAUGUUAGCAGCCUGUGAGCCUCGGAAACUAAUUUGGCUGAUGUGUCUCUGAUAGGGAGCUUGGGGCUGCACCAAGGGGAAACAUUCUCCUCCUGUAUUCUCUCCUCUCUCUCGUUUGAAAGCCUGUACAAAGAAAUGGUACAAAUGGAUGGUUAACUUAAUGAUUCCAUCAGAGGCAGAUUUUUCUCUGUCAGGUCCCUGGAUAAGGUGGAGGUCUGAAAGCCAGGAGACAGAAUAUGUACUUAAUCGCCCUUUCUGACCUGCUUACCAGUGACCAGGACUACUCUCCAGGCCUUUCUUCUGCCACUUCCCCAUUCUUCCUGGCUAGUUCAGUUGGGUCUCAGCACUUCAACUCCUGGCUGGAUCCUGAGUUUUUCUUGGUUGCAGGGAAAGCUCUCACUGUCUGCAUCUCCUUCCCCACCCCCACCUCCCGUUUUGCAGCUGGCCAUUCUGGCUGCCUC
rnacentral:lncRNA from 1 species